CAGACAUCAGUGCUGUCCCAGAGCUGGCGUCUGAACAUGUGUGAUGUGCGGUGUGUGCGUGUGCAGGGGGAAGGGGUGCAGGCAGCUGAACGUGACCAUGAGAACCCCGUAAACUCUGCGGGGCAUGGAGGGGACCGGUGCUUUGCAGGUGCACAGAGCUGGGGCUGGGGGUGGCCCAGGUCUUUGGGGGCAGUUUUAUGCAGGACGUAUGGACGGCUGGAGCUGAAUAGCGAGUGGGGGAGGCUGCAUGGCCGCAGUGAGGUCUGGCUGACAAUAGAGCAGGGCCUGGGUCAUGGCUCAUGGUCUGGUCAGGUCAACGGACACCCUAGUCAUGGCUCAGAGGCUUCAGCAGGGCCCCGUGGAGGAGGAUCCCUCUAGCAAUGACCCUGGGUUGGCUUCCGCCGAGGGCUGAGUUUAGGAACAGUCUCCAGGCUGUUGCUGUUUUCCUAGUCCACGCUUUCACUGAGGAUGCAUCCCUUGCACAUCUGUGCUUCACAUGGGAGUCGCCGUCCACCUCCCACCUGCUGGGAGCCUUAGCUUCAUCAUCUGUCCUGCUUCAGUGUAAAACCCAACCCCUGGGCCGCAGAACUCGCACCCUACCCACCCACCUGCCUGCUGUAGGACGGCAAGCAUCUCUGCUUCUGAUUCACGUCCUCUCCCCUUCCCACAUUUGUCCCUGGUCACGUCCUUGCCUGUUCGUGAAUCCACUUGUGCAAUCGACAUGAUGCUUGCACUCAGCAGUGCUCCUGGGUGUUCGCAGAACAUGGUCUGCCAAAAACAGAAGUCAAGAAACUUU
rnacentral:lncRNA from 10 species